rnacentral:rRNA from 1 species
GACGAACGCUGGCGGCGUGCCUAACACAUGCAAGUCAACGAGAAAAGGGUAGCAAUAUCCUGAGUAAAGUGGCGCACGGGUGAGUAACACGUAGGUAAUCUGCCAUUAGGACGGGGACAACCACGCGAAAGCGUGGCUAAUACCCGAUGAAUCAGCGGCGCCGCAUGGCGUUGUUGUUAAAUACCGCAAGGUGCCUGGUGAUGAACCUGCGUCCCAUUAGGUAGUUGGNGAGGUAACGGCUCACCAAGCCGACGAUGGGUAGCUGGUCUGAGAGGAUGAUCAGCCACACUGGAACUGAGACACGGUCCAGACUCCUACGGGAGGCAGCAGUGAGGAAUAUUGCGCAAUGGCCGAAAGGCUGACGCAGCGACGCCGC